UACAGAGGGUGCAAGCGUUAAUCGGAAUUACUGGGCGUAAAGCGCACGUAGGCGGCUUUGUAAGUUAGAGGUGAAAGCCCGGAGCUCAACUCCGGAACUGCCUUUAAGACUGCAUCGCUUGAAUCCAGGAGAGGUGAGUGGAAUUCCGAGUGUAGAGGUGAAAUUCGUAGAUAUUCGGAAGAACACCAGUGGCGAAGGCGGCUCACUGGACUGGUAUUGACGCUGAGGUGCGAAAGCGUGGGGAGCAAACAGG
rnacentral:rRNA from 1 species